rnacentral:misc_RNA from 1 species
AAAAAACCUCUGUUUUUCUCUGCAAUUCACCAAAAAUGUCACUUCCGAAAUCCAAAAAAUCCUUCCCGUCGGUGACGACAUGCGAUACCUCCGCCGUUAACCACCACUCCGUGGCGGCGGAUCUCGACGGAACUCUGUUGAUUUCCCGUUCAUCUUUCCCUUACUUCAUGCUAGUAGCAAUCGAAGCCGGGAGCCUUUUCCGAGGACUGAUCCUCCUUCUCUCUUUCCCUCUCAUCGCGAUUGCGUACGUGUUUGUGUCCGAAGCAUUAGCUAUUCAGAUGCUGAUUUACAUUUCCUUCGCCGGACUCAAAGUCCGGGACAUUGAGCUGGCUUCGCGAGCUGUUCUCCCGAGAUUUUACGCGACGGAUGUUAGGAAGGAGAGUUUCGAGGUUUUCGAUCAGUGUAAGAGGAAAGUUGUGGUUACUGCAAAUCCGACUAUUAUGGUUGAGCCUUUUGUGAAGGAUUUUUUAGGAGGUGAUAAAGUACUUGGAACAGAAAUCGAGGUGAAUCCGAAGACGAAAAAGGCUACUGGAUUUGUGAAGAGUCCUGGGAUUUUGGUAGGGAAAUGGAAGAAAUUGUCAAUUUUGAAGGAAUUUGGAGAAGAAAUGCCUGAUAUUGGAUUGGGUGAUCGAGAAUCGGAUCAUGAUUUUAUGUCCAUUUGCAAGGAGGGCUAUAUGGUGCUCCCUAGUGAAUCAGCAAAGCCAGUACCACUUGAUCGCUUGAAAAGCAGAUUGAUCUUCCAUGACGGUCGUUUGGUGCAACGCCCAACUCCAUUCAACGCGUUAGUCACCUACAUUUGGUUGCCAUUUGGAUUUGCUCUUGGAGUUUUCCGUGUAUACUUCAACCUCCCUCUCCCUGAGCGUAUUGUUCGUUAUACAUAUGGGAUGGUAGGGAUCAACCUCGUGAUCAAAGGCCCUCGACCACCUCCACCAUCACCGGGUACCCCAGGGAACCUCUAUGUGUGUAAUCAUCGUUCAGCACUUGACCCUAUCGUCAUUGCUAUUGCACUAGGGAGGAAAGUGUCCACUGUCACAUAUAGCGUGAGCAAGCUCUCGAGAUUCUUAUCCCCAAUUCCAGCCAUUGCCUUGACACGUGAUCGUGAAGCUGAUGCUGCAAUGAUCAAGAAAUUGCUCGAGAAAGGUGAUCUCGUUGUAUGCCCCGAGGGGACUACAUGUAGGGAGCCGUUUUUGCUGAGGUUCAGUGCUCUGUUUGCAGAAUUAAGUGAUAGGAUCGUGCCAGUAGCAGUGGAUACAAAACAGAGCAUGUUCUUCGGUACAACAGUCCGCGGAGUGAAGUUUUGGGAUCCAUAUUUCUUUUUCAUGAACCCAAGGCCAACUUAUGAAUUGACAUUUCUUGAACCAUUGCCAAUGGAAAUGACAUGUAAGGCUGGGAAAACAUCAAUUGAAGUAGCCAACCAUGUGCAGAAAGUGUUGGGUGGGGUUCUUGGAUUUGAAUGCACUCAGUUGACAAGGAAGGAUAAGUAUAUGUUGCUUGGUGGAAAUGAUGGCAAAGUGGAGUCUAUGUACUCCAAGAAAGCCUGAAUUACUAUUUCAUUGGGGAAAAAAAGGCUUAAUUGCUUUGAGAGGGGAUUCUGUUAGUAAAAUUUGUGAACUCUUGUUGUUGAGAAGAGGCUAUGUUUGUUACAUGAUUAGUUACUUUGUAUUCGUAUUCAAUAGACAAUAUUAAUUGGAAUCAAA